AUUGAACGCUGGCGGCAUGCCUUACACAUGCAAGUCGAACGGCAGCACGGGUGCUUGCACCUGGUGGCGAGUGGCGAACGGGUGAGUAAUACAUCGGAACAUGUCCUGUAGUGGGGGAUAGCCCGGCGAAAGCCGGAUUAAUACCGCAUACGAUCUACGGAUGAAAGCGGGGGACCUUCGGGCCUCGCGCUAUAGGGUUGGCCGAUGGCUGAUUAGCUAGUUGGUGGGGUAAAGGCCUACCAAGGCGACGAUCAGUAGCUGGUCUGAGAGGACGACCAGCCACACUGGGACUGAGACACGGCCCAGACUCCUACGGGAGGCAGCAGUGGGGAAUUUUGGACAAUGGGCGAAAGCCUGAUCCAGCAAUGCCGCGUGUGUGAAGAAGGCCUUCGGGUUGUAAAGCACUUUUGUCCGGGAAGAAAUCCUUGGCCCUAAUACGGUCGGGGGAUGACGGUACCGGAAGAAUAAGCACCGGCUAACUACGUG
rnacentral:rRNA from 1 species